rnacentral:piRNA from 1 species
UACUUUGUGGAGAAAGGAGGUGAU